rnacentral:misc_RNA from 1 species
GUUAUCCAGUUCUUGGUGUGGGUUUCACUGGUUCUCUAGCUAGCACGCGGGCCAAACUUGGUGAUCACAGAUUUCACUUGUCAACAAGAACAUCUGACCGACUUUGGGUAUUCUAAAGUUACUUUGUCAAAGGGUCUGCGAACUCGAGAGCAAGAAGAUACCAUUUCAAGUCAUCUCUUACUCGAGGCCAUUGCAAAUGCUUGCAAAGUCCAGGCAACAUUUGUUUCUAAUUUGACUGAAUCUGAUGUGUCUGAUGAAUUUGAAAAAAAAUUUACUGAAGAUCAAGAAUUGGAACAACUUCUAAAUGGGCA